rnacentral:rRNA from 1 species
CCUACGGGCGGCAGCAGUGAGGAAUAUUGGUCAAUGGACGAGAGUCUGAACCAGCCAAGUAGCGUGAAGGAUGACUGCCCUAUGGGUUGUAAACUUCUUUUAUAUGGGAAUAAAAUGUUCCACGUGUGGGAUUUUGUAUGUACCAUAUGAAUAAGGAUCGGCUAACUCCGUGCCAGCAGCCGCGGUAAUACGGAGGAUCCGAGCGUUAUCCGGAUUUAUUGGGUUUAAAGGGAGCGUAGGCGGAUUGUUAAGUCAGUUGUGAAAGUUUGCGGCUCAACCGUAAAAUUGCAGUUGAAACUGGCAGUCUUGAGUGCAGUAGAGGUGGGCGGAAUGCGUGGUGUAGCGGUGAAAUGCUUAGAUAUCACGAAGAACUCCGAUUGCGAAGGCAGUUCACUGGACUGCAACUGACACUGAGGCUCGAAAGUGUGGGUAUCAAACAGGAUUAGAUACCCUUGUAGUC